GCGUGGUCGCGGAAGGGCGCGGGGACGCCCUCCGACGGCGUCCCCGCGCCCGUUCCCUCCGGCACCCCGCG
rnacentral:tRNA from 1 species